rnacentral:tRNA from 1 species
UCCCGGGUGGUGUAAUCGGCAACACCGGCGGUUUUGGUCCGUCUGUUCUAGGUUCGAGUCCUAGCCCGGGAGCCC